AAAACACUUGACGAUGGACAUCAUGUCCAAGAUAAAUUUACCUGCAUCCUGUUAGUGCUUUGUUGCUCACCAACGUCUCUCCAAAAAUAAAUCUUCGAUCAGACUUCGUCACAAGGAAUUGUCAGGCACAAGCAUAAAGCAGAUGUGUUCACAGCAUUUGGAGCUAACAGCAACACAUAGAGUGUAGGAAACCCUGCCAACAGAGGUGUACAUUUCCAAUGGUGGAUUACUGGAGCAAUCAAGAAGUA